UGAUGUGAGUGUAAUCUGACUGUGAUAUCUGUCACUCCAUUGAUUGCCAAUAUUGAUUUGGCUGAUCUGGCUGGCUAGGUGGGUGUCCUCUUCCUCCCUUACCGCUCCAUGUGCAUCCCUCCCAAAGCUGUGCAUUGUCAAAGAGAAUGACAUUCCACAAUAGAGGAGAGGACCCUUUCUGGUCAAAAAUAUAUGAGUAGCUGUGCUCCCCUGCUAGUACCUCCAAACAAGCUCUAGGAUAAUACUUUAGACAUAGCAAAUUCACCAUAAAUUUGUGUGUAUAUGUACACACACAC
ensembl:misc_RNA 7SK 7SK RNA